rnacentral:rRNA from 1 species
UACGAAGGGGGCUAGCGUUGCUCGGAAUCACUGGGCGUAAAGGGUGCGUAGGCGGGUCUUUAAGUCAGGGGUGAAAUCCUGGAGCUCAACUCCAGAACUGCCCUUGAUACUGAAGGUCUUGAGUUCGGGAGAGGUGAGUGGAACUGCGAGUGUAGAGGUGAAAUUCGUAGAUAUUCGCAAGAACACCAGUGGCGAAGGCGGCUCACUGGCCCGAUACUGACGCUGAUGCACGAAAGCGUGGGGAGCACACGGG